rnacentral:tRNA from 15 species
UCCGUGGUAGCUCAAUGGUUGAGCAUUCGGCUGUUAACCGAAGGGUUGGAGGUUCGAGCCCUCUCCACGGAGCCA